GAGAUGCCAUUCCCUUCCUUUGGUGGUGGAGAUGAGAAGAGAUAUAAAAUUCUUCAUGGUCUGGAGAUAUUUUUUUACCUCUUAUAUAUUAACUCUCCCCAUUGCUUGCCUUGGAGUCUUCAUUUUCUGCGUGUGGUUACAUAUACUUGGUGUACUUUCUCAUCUCUGGGAAGUCACACAUCUCUCCUUCCUGCCAGGAUCACUCACCCCUUUCCCCUUCUCUGACUAAUGCCUAAUGUUUGUUUUUCUAGUAGAGUAGAAAUCACUUUGGGACGUCGGUGCCAAAACAGUUGGAUAUCUUCCUUCUUAAUGUUUCUGUGGCUACCUGAAUUUUGCUUAAUUUAAUGCUUGUUCCACUGUACUGAAAAAUUUAAUGUAUUUAUCUGUCUCUUCCAAUAGAGUGUAAGCUCCUUGAAGGGAGAGACUGCUUUAUUUUCACUGGCGAGUACAAUGCUUGGCAUACAGAAGAUACUCAGAAUAGUGGUGGUGAUUUCCAUUGCAAACAUGGAUGUUCCCUUAACAUACAUUAAGACCAUAUCACACUCUAUAGUAUUCCAAAAGGGAAGGUGAACUGUUUUCAAAGGUUUCUACUUUUGAAUGUCCACACCUGGCAUCUGCAGUAAAAUACACAGCAUCUGGAUUACAGAAUGCAAAUAACAUCCAUUCAGGCAAACUUUCAAGCUUUGGUAUAUGCAUCAUGCAUUGAAAAUAAAUUGAUUUAGACUGCUGUAGGACCUUUAUAUGAUUUUGGGGAUCAACUUUAAAAUUUUUCUUUGGAUGGACCUAUUCUGCCUCCCUUUUCAGUAUUGAAUAGGAUCUUUUAUUAUUCUCAAUAUCAUUUGAAUACUAAACGGCACUAAUUGAGUAUAUUUAGUAAGAAUGACUAGUUUUUCUUAAGUUUCUGUAUACC